AUUGAACGCUGGCGGCAUGCCUUACACAUGCAAGUCGAACGGCAGCACGGGAGCAAUCCUGGUGGCGAGUGGCGAACGGGUGAGUAAUAUAUCGGAACGUGCCCAGUCGUGGGGAUAACGUAGCGAAAGCUACGCUAAUACCGCAUACGAUCUACGGAUGAAAGCGGGGGGAUCGCAAGACCUCGCGCGAUUGGAGCGGCCGAUAUCAGAUUAGGGUAGUUGGUGAGGUAAAGGCUCACCAAGCCGACGAUCUGUAGCUGGUCUGAGAGGACGACCAGCCACACUGGGACUGAGACACGGCCCAGACUCCUACGGGAGGCAGCAGUGGGAAUUUUGGACAAUGGGCGCAAGCCUGAUCCAGCCA
rnacentral:rRNA from 1 species